CGUCCAAUACACAAGACAGGAGACAGGGGUGAGGAGAGGAGAAAGGCAAAUGUUUGUUUAUCACGACAGCGUAAAUAUAUUAAUACACAAUGGGGGAGAGGGAGAGAGAGGGAGAGGGGGAAUAAUAAACAGAGAAGAAGAUAUACAUGAAAAAAAAUUGAGAUAAAAGAAAGAAAUAUUAAAGAAACUAGAGAUACCGGUAAAUGAAGGCACCUGAGAGAGAGAGAGAGAGAGAGAGAGAGAGAGAGAGAGAGAGAGAGAGAGAGAGAGAGAGAGAGAGAGAGAGAGAGAGAGAGAGAGAGAGAGAGAGAGAGAGAGAGAGACGAAAGAGAGAGAGAGAGAGAGAGAGAGAGAGAGAGAGAGAGAGAGACGUAAAGAAAAUAAGGCACAAGAAAAAAUAAAUAAAGGAAUAAAAAGAAAAAGAGAAAUAAUUUUGAAAGAGAAAAAAUAAAUAAAGGAAUAAAAAGAAAAAGAGAAAUAAUAAUCAGGAAAAUAAAUGAGAAAAAGGAAAAUAAAAAGUGGCACAAAAUAAUAUAAUAAUCAAGGAAAUGUUUUACAAGAUUUUCAUUAAAGGAAGCAAAGAAAAUUAUUAAGGGGGGAUACUGCGAGAAAAUCAAUACAUAGCAAAGAAAAUUAUUAAGGGGGGAUACUGCGAGAAAAUCAAUACAUAGCAAAGAAAAUGAUUAAGGGGAAAAUACUGCAGGAAAUCAAUCAAUAUUAAGCAAAGAAAAUCAUUAAGGGGAGAUACUGCAAGAAACCAAAAUAAGAGAAAACAAGCAAAAUAUUUAAGAGAGAUUUUUUAACGUAAACUAAAAAAAUUAUUAAGGGGAGACUACUGCAGGAAAUCAAUCAAUAUACAGCAAAGAAUUUAGUUAUAAGGAAAAUACUGCAGGAAAAUCAAUCAAUACUAAGCAAAGAAUUAAGAAAUUUUAACAGAAACCAAGAAAUUAAGAAAAGGCAAAAAAAUUAACCGAGAAAAAAAUAUUACCAGAAAUGAAAAAAAAAAAAAAGCUGGAAAUAAAUAAAUAUAAGCAAAAUAUUUAACAUAGAGAUUUUAAUAGAAACCAAGAAAUUAAGAAAAGGCAUAAAAAGAAAUGAUACUGAAAAAUUUAACGGCAGAAAAAAUAUUAGAAAAAAAAGUACCAAGCUGUAAAUCAAUAAAAAUGAGAGCUGGAAGAAAGAAAGUGUGGAGCAAAAUCAAAUACAACAGUAAAAUUAAUAAAGUAUAAAAUAAAAGCUGAAAAUAAUAGGGCAAGAAAAAAUUAUAGUAGUAAAUUAAAAGCUGUGAAACUUCGGAGAAAAGCAAAAUUAUCAAAGAGUAAAAUAAUGCGCAAAAUAAAGCUGAAAAAAUACGACAAGCAAAAUAAAAUAAAGAGAAUAAAAAAAAAAAACAGAAGAAUACAAAAAAAAGGUACUAUUGUGAACAUUAAAAAAAUAAAAAUUAAAAAAAAACUGAAUAGAGGAAGAAAUAUUGAAUUGAAAGUAGAAAAAAUAUGAAAAAUAGAAGAGCGAGAGAGAGAGAGAGAGAGAGAGAGAGAGAGAGAGAGAGAGAGAGAGAGAGAGAGAGAGAGAGAGAGAAGGAAGGUGAAGAAAGGGGAGAAAAAGAAAGAAUGAAGGAGAAAAGAAAGAGAAAUAUUGAAUCGAAAGUAAAAAAAAUAUAAAAAAUAGAAGAGAGAGAGAGAGAGAGAGAGAGAGAGAGAGAGAGAGAGAGAGAGAGAGAGAGAGAGAGAGAGAGAGAGAGAGACUAAGAACAACAGGGGUAAAAAUCUUGACACAAAAAGGGGAAAAAAAAAAAUUAUCAAUAUUAUCAAAAAAUCCUCAAAAAACACACUGGCGAGUUAUGAAAAUGAGGAAACACUCGCAACACACAACACGUCAGCAACACGUCUGGAGGUACAACAAGAAACACCUUAUUGAUGCCUCAUUAGGGCGGGCACAGGUGAGGCUGGAACGUUACCCCCAAGACAGGCACACACACACACACACACACCGACACACACACAUACGCACGCACACUGGAGGUAACAGAACAGCCUAACGGAAUUUCAGAGUCAGAUAAGAAAAAAAAAAGGAGGAAAGAGCAGUAAUAGUAAUAGUAGGAGUAAUAGUAAUAAAAAAAACAUCGACAACAACAACAGUGAUCGCGCUAAUGUCAAAACAACGUCAUUUUUUAUCAGCAACAACAGCCAUUAACCGAGCGACUGAAAGACAAAAACAAUGAUGCAGUAGUAACAGUAAUAGCAGUAGUAGUAGUAGUAGUAACAGCAACAGCAGCAGCAACAGUAGUAGAUGUAGUAGUAGUAGUAAUAGUAGUGGUAUAGCCCAUUUCAGUGAGUGUCGAAGGCAGGUCUCGUCACAGGACAGCGGAGAAUGACAGAUUGUUCCUUUACGUCCUCUCAAAACAAAGGGAGGAGUUGUAAUAUGCAAAGUCUCGUUACAGGACAGCGGAGAAUGACAAACCGUUCCUUUACGUCCUCUCAAAACAAAGGGAGGAGUUAUAAUAUGCAAAGUCUCAUUACAGAACAGCGGAGAAUGACAAACCGUUCCUUUACGUCCUCUCAAAACAAAGGGAGGAGUUAUAAUAUGCAAAGUCUCGUUACAGGACAGCGGAGAAUGACAAACUGUUCCUCUACGUCCUCUCAAAACAAAGGGAGGAGUUGUAAUAUGCAAAGUCUCGUUACAGGACAGCGGAGAAUGACAAACUGUUCCUUUACGUCCUCUCAAAACAAAGGGAGGAGUUAUAAUAUGCAAAGUCUCGUUACAGGACAGCGGAGAAUGACAAACUGUUCCUUUACGUCCUCUCAAAACAAAGGGAGGAGUUAUAAUAUGCAAAGUCUCGUUACAGGACAGCGGAGAAUGACAGACCGUUCCUUUACGUCCUCUCAAAACAAAUAAUAUGCAAAGGAGGACAUUUCAUAACAGAGAAACGAUAUAUGGCAUUGUUUCCGUUCCUUCUCGCACACACGCCACAAUUUUUACACUACUGCCAGCUUGUAUGAGAAAAAAUCCAUGGCAACGUUCCCUUUAGACCAUAUCGUAACAUACUCCUUCUAACCAUGACAUACGCUCUUUUAAACUACAUCAGAUGAGUCUUAUAAGCAAUGCCAUGAGCUCUUCAGAUGCACUUUUGCCCACGUGGGAAAAGAAAGCAAUCAGGUAGGGUGUGUCUUCUCCUCGACAUAUGCUCAGUGAUUGAAGAUUACUGAUAUCGUAACAUACUCCUUCUAACCAUGACAUACGCUCUUUUAAACUACAUCAGAUGCGUCUUAUAAGCAAUGCCAUAAGCUCUUCAGAUGCACUUUUGCCCACGUGGGAAAAGAAAGCAAUCAGGUAGUGUGUGUCUUCUCCUCGACAUCUGAUAAGUGACUGGUAUCGUUUCCGCUCCUUCUCACACACACACCACAAUAUUUAUACUACCACCAUCUCGUAUGGGAAAAAAAAAAAAAAAAAAAAAAAAAAUCCAUGGUAACGUUCCCGCAUUUGACACUCACUGUAACAGGCCAACACAACAGUGGUAAUGGAGGGAAGAACAACAGUAAUAACAUUAAUAACAACAAUAAUAAUGAUAAUAACACCAAUUGUCAACACAUCAAAUCUUGCACACACGCACGCACACACUCAUAUGGGUCCCCCCCUUGGACGUGCCUUGGCUGUUUAUACCCUGACGGUGCAUAGGAAAAUAGCCCUUAUGUAUGGUAGUUCUGAAUUCUGUUAGGGGGGGAGGGGUGGGAGGGGGGAAGGUCCUAUACUCCAUUGAUACCACUAACCUAUUUCCUCUUCUUCCUCCUCCUCCUCUUAUAUUCUAGACAAUGGAUGUAUAUUUUGAUGACUGGUUUAUGGGAAAGACCAACCCCUCAGAUAUAUGUUCUGUUAUCCUAUUUAGUACUGUUUGUAAGUCUUAAUUUGGCCUUCUCAUCUAUGGUAUUCUUUUGUUUAUAUUCCGAUUUCCUUCUUAUGUAAUUUUUUUGUUUUAUUUAAUUUUACAACAUUCCUUCGACUUACUUUCAUUCAUGUGUCAGUUUCUACAUUUCUACUUCAUUGCUUUCAUUCCUUCCUCUAACGGACAAACCUUCUCUCUAACACUGCUACGAGAUUGCCAGUUUUCCCUCAUUGCUUUCCCUAUCUCCUUCUCUUCCUCCUCACUCCCUCAUUCCUUUCUUCAGUAACUCAAUCAUUCUUUUAUUAAUUUCCCCUUCCUUCCUCAAACGGACAAACCUUCUCUCCUAACAUUGCUCCGAGAUUCAGUUUCCACCCUAAUGCUUUGCCUAUCUCCUUCUCUUCCUCCUCACGCCUUCAUUCCUUUCUUCAGUAACUCAAUCAUUCUUUUAUUAAUUUCUCCUUCCUUCCUUCCUCUAACGGACAAACUUUCUCUCUUAAUGCUGCUCCGAGAUUGAUAGUUUUCCGCCUUUGCUUUGUCUAUCUCCUUCCCUUCCUCCUCAUUCCCCAUUCCUUUCUUUAGUAACUCAAUUCUUUUAUUAAUUUCUCCUCCCUUCCUUCCUUCCUCUAACGGGCAAAUCUUCUCUCCUAACACUGCUCCGAAAUUGAUAGUUUCCAUCCAUUGCUCUUCCUAUCACCUCCCAUUCCUCCUCCUCCUCCUCCUCCUCACUCUCCCAUUCAUCUAUGCAUUACAUCCAUUGAUACGGGCAACAGCCAAGGCAGUUUUAAGGGGGAACCGCAGCAAUCUGUUAGCUAAGGGGGUGGGGAAGGACAAGGAUGGAAGCGAAGGAGGAGAAGGGAUUGAGGAUAGGAGAAGGAGGGGAAGGAAAGGGAAAAAAGGAGGAAAAGGAUAUGUAAAGAAAAGGAUAAGGAUGUAGGAGCAGAA